GUAAAUUCUCAGGGCGGGGUGAAAUUCCCCACCGGCGGUAUGUUUAAUGUUUUUUAUGACUUAAACGAGCCCGCGAGCGCUUUAUUUAACCUAUUUUAGGUUAAGUAAAGGUCAAGCAGAUCUGGUGAGAUGCCAGAGCCGACGGUUACAGUCCGGAUGAAAGAGAAUAUGG
rnacentral:ncRNA from 2 species